GGGUGAUUAGCUCAGUUGGUUAGAGUGUUUGCUUGACGUGCAAAAGGUCGCUGGUUCGAACCCAGUAUCACCCACCA
rnacentral:tRNA from 1 species